UACUAAAGUAUCACUUAUGCAGCACAGAAAAUAUGACAGACUAAAAGAAAAAAAAAAUGUAUAACUAGAUUAAGAUACCACUAAUGAGCUACCCCAUGCACCAGCUGUCAAAUCCUGCAGAAAUGCGUCGACGUAGGGCGCAAAAUGACAGUCAUUCAAAUAACUGCUCAAGCUAUGAUUAAUGAAAAUGACGAGAUCCAGUUGCGGUUACAGGUCCGCAUUGCCAUUACGCGCCUGGCGGUAACGAGAGUAAAGGGAUUAGACUGAAUGCCAGCCUCUGACGAUGUAGUGAUGUAAUCCAAAAACAACGCUGCUCAGACUCGUGCAGAUACCCCCUCCCUCACCCACCGAGGGAUGUUCUAGCAGCAUCCAGAUGAACUUCCACCAUAGAGAAACGCUUGGACUGUACCACAGCACCGGGAAAAAUGGGGAGUAUGGAUCUCUGCAUGAUGCGAUCUCUGGACAGAAGUCCAGACGAAUCUGGAAAUAUGGUCUGCAGUAGCACCAGGAGAGAGGGGGUUUGCAGGUCUCAGGUCUGUGUCAUUUCUACCCAAGGUGAAAAGGCUGACCACAGCCAUCAGAGCUGCCAGCAUCAUGACGGCACAGCCUCCAAACAUGUGUCUGGUGCCCCCACCACCCUCCCCACCACCUGUUCCUGACACUUCCCCGUGGAGGGCCAGGAGCCCUAAGCAGGCCA